ACUCGGAGCAGAUUGACUUCAUCGAUUCCUGCGUGGGGGAGGAGGAGGAGGAGGAUGGGAGGAGUCGAAGAGGAGGACGGGACAGCGCCAGCCUCAGCUCGCAGUUCAUGGCCUACAUUGAGAAACGCAUCACCAGAGAGGGGUCGCCAGUCAAAACCAGCUCGAGGACAGAAGACACGAGGAGACACAACAGGAGUGUGGUUGAUGGCGUUACAGCGCCCUC